UACAGAGGUCUCAAGCGUUGUUCGGAUUCAUUGGGCGUAAAGGGUGCGUAGGCGGCGCGGUAAGUCGGGUGUGAAAUCUUGGAGCUUAACUCCGAAACUGCAUUCGAUACUGCCGUGCUUGAGGACUGGAGAGGAGACUGGAAUUUACGGUGUAGCGGUGAAAUGCGUAGAUAUCGUAAGGAAGACCAGUGGCGAAGGCGGGGCUCUGGACAGUUACUGACGCUGAGGCACGAAGGCCAGGGGAGCAAACGGG
rnacentral:rRNA from 1 species